rnacentral:rRNA from 1 species
UACGAAGGGGGCGAGCGUUGUCCGGAUUUACUGGGCGUAAAGAGCGCGCAGGCGGCCAAGUCAGUCGAAUGUGAAAGCCCCCGGCUUAACCUGGGGAGGGUCAUUCGAUACUGCUUGGCUCGAAGACAGGAGAGGGAAGCGGAAUUCCCGGUGUAGUGGUGAAAUGCGUAGAUAUCGGGAGGAACACCAGUGGCGAAGGCGGCUUUCUGGCCUGUUCUUGACGCUGAGGCGCGAAAGCUAGGGGAGCAAACGGGGAUUAAGAU